rnacentral:rRNA from 1 species
CCUACGGGUGGCAGCAGUGAGGAAUAUUGGUCAAUGGGCUUACGCCUGAACCAGCCAAGUCGCGUGAGGGAAGACUGCCCUAUGGGUUGUAAACCUCUUUUGUCAGGGAGCAACGCCGGCUACGUGUAGCCGGACUGAGAGUACCUGAAGAAAAAGCAUCGGCUAACUCCGUGCCAGCAGCCGCGGUAAUACGGAGGAUGCGAGCGUUAUCCGGAUUUAUUGGGUUUAAAGGGUGCGUAGGCGGAAUGCCAAGUCAGCGGUAAAAUCGCGGGGCUCAACCUCGCUCCGCCGUUGAAACUGGCGUUCUUGAGUGGGCGAGAAGUAUGCGGAAUGCGUGGUGUAGCGGUGAAAUGCAUAGAUAUCACGCAGAACUCCGAUUGCGAAGGCAGCUUACUAAACUGCCACUGACAUUGAUGCUCGAAAGUGUGGGUAUCAAACAGGAUUAGAUACCCCAGUAGUC